GGGAUAACAGUUCGAAAGGACUGCUAAUACCGCAUGUGGUCAUCGGAUUUAGAAACCGAUGUCUAAAGCAGCAAUGCGCUUUGGGAGGGACCUGCGUCCCAUCAGCUAGUUGGUAGGGUAACGGCCUACCAAGGCGACGACGGGUAGGGGACCUGAGAGGGUGACCCCCCACAAUGGAACUGAAACACGGUCCAUACACCUACGGGUGGCAGCAGUAGGGAAUAUUGCACAAUGGGCGAAAGCCUGAUGCAGCAACGCCGCGUGCACGAUGAAGGCCUUCGGGUCGUAAAGUGCUUUUCUGAGAGAUGAGAUAGGACAGUAUCUCAGGAAUAAGUCUCGGCUAACUACGUGCCAGCAGCCGCGGUAAUACGUAGGUGACGAGCGUUGUCCGGAUUUACUGGGCGUAAAGAGCGCGCAGG
rnacentral:rRNA from 1 species